GACGUAGGGCGCGAGCGUUGUCCGGAUUUAUUGGGCGUAAAGAGCUCGUAGGCGGCUCGUUGCGUCGGCUGUGAAAUCCCGAGGCUCAACCUCGGGUCUGCAGUCGAUACGGGCAAACUGGAGUGUUGCAGGGGAGACUGGAAUUCCUGGUGUAGCGGUGAAAUGCGCAGAUAUCAGGAGGAACACCGGUGGCGAAGGCGGGUCUCUGGGCAACAACUGACGCUGAGGAGCGAAAGCGUGGGGAGCGAACAGG
rnacentral:rRNA from 1 species